AGUGAACGCUGGCGGUAGGCCUAACACAUGCAAGUCGAACGGCAGCACAGUAAGAGCUUGCUCUUACGGGUGGCGAGUGGCGGAUGGGUGAGGAAUACAUCGGAAUCUACUUUUUCGUGGGGGAUAACGUAGGGAAACUUACGCUAAUACCGCAUACGACCUACGGGUGAAAGCAGGGGAUCUUCGGACCUUGCGCGAUUGAAUGAGCCGAUGUCGGAUUAGCUAGUUGGCGGGGUAAAGGCCCACCAAGGCGACGAUCCGUAGCUGGUCUGAGAGGAUGAUCAGCCACACUGGAACUGAGACACGGUCCAGACUCCUACGGGAGGCAGCAGUGGGGAAUAUUGGACAAUGGGCGCAAGCCUGAUCCAGCCAUACCGCGUGGGUGAAGAAGGCCUUCGGGUUGUAGAGCCCUUUUGUUGGGAAAGAAAAGCAGCAGGUUAAUACCCCGCUGUUCUGACGGUACCCAAAGAAUAAGCACCGGCUAACUUCGUG
rnacentral:rRNA from 1 species